AUGGCGGCAAGAAUAGUUGGCAUGGGUCGGUUGAGCCCUAGCACGACGAGGGUGUCCUGUAGCGCUGCCUGCGUGGCCUUGGCGAAGAGGGCCUCGUUAUCCUCAACGGCGGCCUUGUGUUGCGCAGCCGCGACGUUGAUGGCGGCCUGGGCGGAGGCUUUCCUCUCCGCUGUUUCUCGGGAGAGCUGCGCUGGCAUGAGCACCUUCUUGGGUUUCUUCUUCUUUUGGGUCGCGUGGCGGGAGGCGGUGGUGGCUGGGAUGCCGGCGGUGGUGUCGUUUGGGGCGGUGGCCAUGGCAGGAGCAGGAGGGCGGGAGGAUUUUUUGGAGAGCAGGGGGAAUUAA
rnacentral:rRNA from 1 species